rnacentral:tRNA from 1 species
CUCCGGGUGGUGUAGUUGGUUCAUCACGUCGGGCUGUAAACCUGAAGGUCGCGUGUUCGAUUCACGCCCUGGAGA